rnacentral:rRNA from 1 species
UACGUAGGGUGCAAGCGUUAAUCGGAAUUACUGGGCGUAAAGCGCGCGCAGGCGGUCGAUCAAGUCGAGUGUGAAAGCCCCCGGCUCAACUGGGGAGGGUCAUUCGAUACUGAUCGACUCGAAGGCAGGAGAGGGUAGUGGAAUUCCCGGUGUAGUGGUGAAAUGCGUAGAUAUCGGGAGGAACACCAGUGGCGAAGGCGACUACCUGGCCUGUUCUUGACGCUGAGGCGCGAAAGCUAGGGGAGCAAACGGG